AUCUGUAAAUUUUAAAAACAAUUUCAGGGGAAUUGAGUGAAAGUCUCAAACGGUCCCGCCACUGUGAUGAGAAUCCUGUAUUCUCAGAGUCAGAUUACCUGUGUUGUUUGUUUAAGUCUUAUUCUACGAGCGAUGGAAAAGGAUUUGCG
rnacentral:sRNA from 2 species